rnacentral:rRNA from 1 species
UACGGGGGGGGCAAGCGUUGUUCGGAAUUACUGGGCGUAAAGCGCGUGUAGGCGGCCUUGUAAGUCCGUUCUGAAAGUCCGGGGCUCAACCCCGGGAGGCGGAUGGAUACUGCAAGGCUCGAGUACGGAAGAGGCGAGUGGAAUUCCCGGUGUAGCGGUGAAAUGCGCAGAUAUCGGGAGGAACACCAAUGGCGAAGGCAGCUCGCUGGGACGUUACUGACGCUGAGGCGCGAAAGCCAGGGGAGCAAACGGG